rnacentral:rRNA from 1 species
AACGAACGUUGGCGGCGUGGAUUAGGCAUGCAAGUCGAACGAAUCCCAGCCUUGUAGCAAUACCGGGCUGGGGGAAGUGGCGAAAGGGGCAGUAAGGCAUGGGUAACCUACCCUGGGGACGUGGAUAGCCAUUCUAACGAGUGGGUAAUACGCGGCGAUCUGGUUGAGGGGCAUCUCUUGGCCAGGAAAUGAAUUUCGCCUCGGGAGGGGCUCAUGUGAUAUUAGCUAGUUGGUGGGGUAACGGCCUACCAAGGCGAAGAUGUCUAGCGGGUGUGAGAGCACGACCCGCGCCACUGGCACUGAGACACUGGCCAGACACCUACGGGUGGCUGCAGUCGAGGAUCUUUGGCAAUGAGCGCAAGCUUGACCAAGCGACGCCGCGUGUGCGAUGAAGGCCUUCGGGUUGUAAAGCACUGUCGAGGGGGACGAAGCCGCAAGGUUGACCGAUCCCUGGAGGAAGCACGGGCUAAGUUCGUGC